UGGAGCUGAAGAGGAGGAAAGGCAACAACCAGCGGUGGAAGAAGUCAAAUUAAUCUAUCGAUCUAAUAACUCACUUCUAUGAAUCACAAGUCCACCUGCAGUCAAGCAUCUCGGACACCUUGGAGGACGAAAUAAAUUAGGGCCCCCUUUUUUUUUUUUUUUUUGGUUUUAGGAGGGAAUCUGCUCGUCUUUUAGGCUGCAGCUGCCAACACCAGGAGCGAGGAUCUCAAUAUCGGACGCCUGCACGACCGACUGUGUGCAAAUCUGCGCUGAUAAGAAUGCAUCAAAAUAACCACUUACCCGAACUGGUGGCUGAGAAAAACACUUUGGAGCCUCAGUACGGGCAUGCUCUACGCCUGCUUGCAGAAGAAAUUGAAAAGCGAGAAGUUGAUGAACUGCAAAAAGAUGGCAUAAUGAAGAAAUACCUUGAUAUUAUCAGCAAUAAAAAUAUCAAGCUGUCGGAAAGAGUUCUCAUCCCAGUGCAACAAUACCCAAAGUUUAAUUUUGUUGGAAAGCUGCUGGGGCCUCGAGGAAAUUCCAUGAAAAGGCUACAAGAGGAAACAGGAGUCAAGAUGUCCAUCCUCGGAAAGGGGUCCAUGAGGGAUAAAGGAAAGGAAGAAGAAUUAAGGAACAGUGGAGAGGCCAAAUAUGCACAUCUGAGUCACGAUCUUCAUGUUUUAAUUGAAGUCUUUGCUCCACCGGGUGAGGCCUAUUCCCGUAUGAGUCACGCUUUGGAGGAGAUUAAAAAAUUCCUUGUUCCAGACUACAAUGAUGAGAUCAGACAGGAGCAACUACGAGAGCUUUCACUGUUGAAUGGUUCCGAUGAGUCCAGCAGAGGCAGGAAUGGACAAGGAAGGAGCAGUCUGGCAACAUCCACUGUAUCCACCAGGGCCCGCAGGAACACAGGAAGGAGCACAGUAACGCCUCGAGGGACGGCCACCGCAACACACAGCAAGCUUGCUGCAUCUGUUUUAACGAGGGAGGCUCAAACCCCGAGAUCCAGGGGAGCAGCAGUAACGGCAAUUGGAGGGUACCGACCUCCACAGAUAGCUGGCACACAUGACUCAUACGACGACUAUGGCUAUGACGAUGGAUAUGGGGGAGAAUACGACGAUGACAGCUACGAGGCUUAUGAUGAUAACUACAGCAAUCAGUCAAAGAGCGUCUCAGACUAUUAUGAAUAUGGACAAGGAACAAAUGAUGAAUCCUACAACUAUGAGGAGGAGUGGCCCAAUUCCCGUCCCAGUCUCAAAGCUCCAGUUCUACAGCUGACCAGAGGGGGAUACAGAAAACAUCCCUAUGGUCGAUACUGAAGACUGAUUGACACAGAAACAUGUGCUGUUAAAGAGGUAAGAAGUCCCGUUGUAUUGUGUCAUCAUAAAUAUUAAUACAAGCUGUAAAUUAAGAGCAAAAACCAACAUACUUCUGAAUGUAAUUUCUGAGUCACAAAUUACAGCGUUUUUUUUUUUAUCUGCAUAGUCUUCUAUGUUUCUGCUAAUGUUUUUUUUCUUUUCUUUUUUCUUGUCAUUGAGUUUGAGAUCUUGCAAUACAUCUUUUAAACAUCAUAGCAUCAUCGCUGCUGUCCAGUUAAACCCUAAACAGGUAUAAAAGCAUUGUGGUGGUCAAAGCGUAGGGGUCAUAAAACAGGACAAUGUAAAACACAGAAUCUACUCCAAGAGGGUGGGUUCAGUUACCGUCUUUGGUCACAAGAGCAGCGUGAAAUACUUGAAUCUAAAGCCCCCGGCGCAGAAUGCAGCGUGAAGAAGUGGACAAAGCCUUUCUGUUGACACAAAAACAACCAUUUUUUGGUUUGCGUAUGUUUGGAUGAGAUGAAAGUGACUGAGUUUGACUGGCAGUGACUUGCCAAGCACUAAAGCAAUGUAUUCAAAUUGCGGUCAGCAGACCAUCAGUGCUCCCUGGGAAAAUCUCAAGUCGUCAGCCAGUAAUUUGAAUUGAGCAACACCUCCAACUUUCAAGUACUAUGCGGUGAUGCUUUAAGUAACAUUUUAACUAUAACUGUACUAAAAUGUUACUGGGAGCAUUUAAUUAACAUUUUAGUGUAGUUAAUUGUCAUGUAAGUGAAAAAAGAAGAAACUGUUAUUGUUAAAUCCUAUCAACAGUUUAAAAAAAAAAACAGUUGGGAACCUUAUUUUUGAUGGGAAUUUGUUAUAUGUACGUCA